ACGGAAUCUGAUGGCAGCAACGCCGCGUGAGUGAAGAAGUUUUCGGAUCUGAAAACUCUGUUGUAAGGGAAGAACACGUACGAGAGUAACUGCUCGUACCUUGACGGUACCUUAUUAGAAAGCCACGGCUAACUACGUGCCAGCAGCCGCGGUAAU
rnacentral:rRNA from 1 species